rnacentral:lncRNA from 1 species
AUUUUGUGAACUUGUAGGGUACCAUUUCAUUUUACUCCUCGCAAGUCACAAGCAAAACAAAGCAAAACAAUCAAUUAAUUACCGCCACUACAAUUGCACCAUUGUGUGAAGUUCCAACGAAAUCAGCUCCACCACACCAAAAUAUUUUCUUGAUGUUAACACUCAUUUUAAAGAAAACAAAAAAAAAUUACCCAUUUCUUGAGUUGAAUAAUCCAAUUUACCUUUCAAUUGCUU